UACAGAGGGUGCAAGCGUUGUUCGGAAUCACUGGGCGUAAAGGGCGCGUAGGCGGCCCGCUAAGUCGAACGUGAAAUCCCCGAGCUCAACUCGGGAACUGCGUCCGAUACUGGUGGGCUUGAAUCCGGGAGAGGGAUGCGGAAUUCCAGGUGUAGCGGUGAAAUGCGUAGAUAUCUGGAGGAAUACCGGUGGCGAAGGCGGCAUCCUGGACCGAGAUUGACACUGAUGAGCGAAAGCUAGGGGAGCAAACGGG
rnacentral:rRNA from 1 species